rnacentral:lncRNA from 1 species
UUUAAUUACCUUCAGGCAUGCUAUGUCUCUUAUAUUAUGCUAAUCCAUUUCCCUUUAUUCCCUUUGUAUGUGAGUAUUGUCCUGGGUCAUAGCAGCACUAUGGAUUGCUGUCUGUGAUCUAGAACUAGGCUUUUCUGAGUCUUUACUCGAUUUGUUUCUCAUUCCCUUUCCCCUCAAUAGGCUGAGCUCUAAUUUGGGUCUGUUGGUGUCCUGAUCAUCAUUCAGACCUAAGUUUUACUCAAUAAGAGUCUGCUCUUAUUUGUUUGAAUCUGAGUAGGAGGUUAGGGGUGUUCCAGUCUAUGCCAUGGCUGGGUAUG